UUAGGAUUUUCACAGAGAAUAGAAAGCCACUGCAGAUGAUGAGAAACACCACAGAUAAUCUAAAGAGAUUUUCACAGAGAAUAGAAAGCCACUGCAGAUGAUGAGAAACACCACAGAUAAUCUAAAGAGUCAGUAAUGAUUACACGAGAUGCUAUUGAUUCUUGUACUGCAAAUCUGAAAAAAAUCAUAUAUAUGUGUAUACAAACUAUGUAAAAUACAUCAUAAUAUAUAAGUGAAGUAUAUUGCUUACCCAUUACAAAAAAAAUUAGCUGAAUGAUUACUUAAAAAUACACAUUUAUACAAUUUAUUAUACAUGGAUAGAUAAAAAAAAAUAAAACUCCAGACACAUUCGUGAAGUAAAAGAGCACAGCAUAGUUCAUCCUCAAUAGAAUGUCAAAAUAUAUUAAAAUAACAAAUUUCAAAAAAUGUGAAUUAAUACUCAUUUACCUCACAGAACAUGUCGUACAUAAAGAAUUACGUCAAAACAUAUU